CUACAUCGAACGACUUUGGGAAGGAACAAAGUCUUUUGGGAGUUUGCAAUUCAUCAAUUUGAACAAGUCUCAAAAACUUAUUGAAACCCCAGACUUCAGCAAAGUCCCAGCUCUU